rnacentral:lncRNA from 1 species
UCAACACCAUCAACCGCAAAGUGGUUAUUGUUAUUGUUGCUGUGAUGAUGAUGAUUGUUAUCAUCAUCACCACAAGAAUUACAAUCCACAAGGUCCAAAUACUCGUCAACCUCACCACCAAACAAGAAACCAUUAUGUUGUUGGUGUAUCUCCGCCGCCACCACCACCAUAGCUCUUCUGACCACCGCCACCACCAUACUGCUGCUGAUAACCAUAACGAUGAUCAACACCAUCAACCGCAAAGUGGUUAUUGUUAUUGUUGCUGUGAUGAUGAUGAUUGUUAUCAUCAUCACCACAAGAAUUACAAUCCACAAGGUCCAAAUACUCGUCAACCUCACCACCAAACAAGAAACCAUUAUGAUUACUCUGUUGUUGGUGGUGAUGAUGAUGAUUCUGGUUGUUGUUGCUGCUGUUACUGUUAUUAUGGUUGUUGUUGGUGCCGGCCGUCACGGCGGCCGU